UUAAAUUGAAGAGUUUGAUCAUGGCUCAGAUUGAACGCUGGCGGCAGGCCUAACACAUGCAAGUCGAACGGUAACAGGAAGCAGCUUGCUGCUUUGCUGACGAGUGGCGGACGGGUGAGUAAUGUCUGGGAAACUGCCUGAUGGAGGGGGAUAACUACUGGAAACGGUGGCUAAUACCGCAUAACGUCGCAAGACCAAAGAGGGGGACCUUCGGGCCUCUUGCCAUCAGAUGUGCCCAGAUGGGAUUAGCUUGUUGGUGAGGUAACGGCUCACCAAGGCGACGAUCCCUAGCUGGUCUGAGAGGAUGACCAGCCACACUGGAACUGAGACACGGUCCAGACUCCUACGGGAGGCAGCAGUGGGGAAUAUUGCACAAUGGGCGCAAGCCUGAUGCAGCCAUGCCGCGUGUAUGAAGAAGGCCUUCGGGUUGUAAAGUACUUUCAGCGGGGAGGAAGGUGUUGUGGUUAAUAACCACAGCAAUUGACGUUACCCGCAGAAGAAGCACCGGCUAACUCCGUGCCAGCAGCCGCGGUAAUACGGAGGGUGCAAGCGUUAAUCGGAAUUACUGGGCGUAAAGCGCACGCAGGCGGUCUGUCAAGUCGGAUGUGAAAUCCCCGGGCUCAACCUGGGAACUGCAUUCGAAACUGGCAGGCUUGAGUCUUGUAGAGGGGGGUAGAAUUCCAGGUGUAGCGGUGAAAUGCGUAGAGAUCUGGAGGAAUACCGGUGGCGAAGGCGGCCCCCUGGACAAAGACUGACGCUCAGGUGCGAAAGCGUGGGGAGCAAACAGGAUUAGAUACCCUGGUAGUCCACGCCGUAAACGAUGUCUACUUGGAGGUUGUGCCCUUGAGGCGUGGCUUCCGGAGCUAACGCGUUAAGUAGACCGCCUGGGGAGUACGGCCGCAAGGUUAAAACUCAAAUGAAUUGACGGGGGCCCGCACAAGCGGUGGAGCAUGUGGUUUAAUUCGAUGCAACGCGAAGAACCUUACCUGGUCUUGACAUCCACGGAAGUUUUCAGAGAUGAGAAUGUGCCUUCGGGAACCGUGAGACAGGUGCUGCAUGGCUGUCGUCAGCUCGUGUUGUGAAAUGUUGGGUUAAGUCCCGCAACGAGCGCAACCCUUAUCCUUUGUUGCCAGCGAUUAGGUCGGGAACUCAAAGGAGACUGCCAGUGAUAAACUGGAGGAAGGUGGGGAUGACGUCAAGUCAUCAUGGCCCUUACGACCAGGGCUACACACGUGCUACAAUGGCGCAUACAAAGAGAAGCGACCUCGCGAGAGCAAGCGGACCUCAUAAAGUGCGUCGUAGUCCGGAUUGGAGUCUGCAACUCGACUCCAUGAAGUCGGAAUCGCUAGUAAUCGUGGAUCAGAAUGCCACGGUGAAUACGUUCCCGGGCCUUGUACACACCGCCCGUCACACCAUGGGAGUGGGUUGCAAAAGAAGUAGGUAGCUUAACCUUCGGGAGGGCGCUUACCACUUUGUGAUUCAUGACUGGGGUGAAGUCGUAACAAGGUAACCGUAGGGGAACCUGCGGUUGGAUCACCUCCUUACCUGAAAGAAGC
rnacentral:rRNA from 2 species